rnacentral:rRNA from 1 species
UACGAAGGGUGCAAGCGUUAAUCGGAAUUACUGGGCGUAAAGGGUGCGUAGGCGGUUCGUUAAGUCUGUCGUGAAAUCCCCGGGCUCAACCUGGGAAUGGCGAUGGAUACUGGCGGGCUAGAGUGUGUCAGAGGAUGGUGGAAUUCCCGGUGUAGCGGUGAAAUGCGUAGAGAUCGGGAGGAACAUCAGUGGCGAAGGCGGCCAUCUGGGACAACACUGACGCUGAAGCACGAAAGCGUGGGGAGCAAACAGG